rfam:Gossypium raimondii chromosome 9, whole genome shotgun sequence.
AAUCCAUGCAUCAUACAUUUCUGAAGUAAUUUCUUAAAUCGUUCCCAAGCUUCAAAUAGAGUUUUGUCCUCUAAUUUCUAAAAAGAUGUGAUGUCAUUUCUAAGCUU